AACAAGAGAUAGGUUAACGACAAGUCCGCACUUACGUGUAGGUUUCUUCUAAUACUGAGAUAAUUGCGUUACGGAUCGUUAAAAUGAGCGAAAUAUGAGUUUCUAGGUCAAUAUUGCCAAAGACCGUUCGAAACUUCAGACCCCAAUUAUUAAAAUUGUACUUUAGCUGAAAAUUGAAUAUACUUUAGCUUUCUGUCGUUUGCUUCAUCCAUUUUUGGUAUUGACAUUAAAACAAUUACCUAGCCGAAAGAGGCUUGUUAUGUAACAUACUCGAACGAAACUUAUCCAAAUGUGUUUUAGGGUAACUUCAUUAGGUAAGGUAACGAACACACUAAAGGUAUGAAAUUUGCGACUAAUUAUGAUGAAGUGAUAAACAUAACGCGCUUGAAUUAGUUAAUACUUGAUUUGAUUAUUGUGUGUUCAUGUAGUCGAUAAGAUGAAUUAAAUGAACAUGAAUUUUCAAUUAUGAAUAUUUUAAGUCGAAGAUACCUUUCAUAAAGCGAGAAGUUUUGAAGUAUUUUAGAUAUAACGGCUAUCGCCGUUUCAAGAACCAAAGCAGCCGCAGAUUAUUAUAACGCGACAUAAAAGGUUGAAUUCCCCAGCAAAUACAACUGUAGUUCUCGUAUUGACCUUGAGUAUAUUCUAUGACAAUUAACUUAUUACAGAUAUUAGGAUGUAACACAAUAUGAGAGAAGCUAUAUGAUUUGCAGUA